UUGCAGGUGGUGAUUGUCAUUUUUCCUAAAUGAUGAUGCCGAAGGGGGAGCGGGUCUGCGCAAUGCCGUUUUCCCGCCAUUCUUGCAA
rnacentral:ncRNA from 1 species